rnacentral:rRNA from 1 species
UACGUAGGUGGCAAGCGUUGUCCGGAUUCACUGGGCGUAAAGCGCGCGCAGGCGGUCUUCUACGUCUGGGGUGAAAACCCGGGGGCUCAACCCCCGGGACUGCCUUGGAUACGGGAAGACUUGAGGAUCGGAGAGGCAAGGGGAAUUCCACGUGUAGCGGUGAAAUGCGUAGAGAUGUGGAGGAACACCUGUGGCGAAGGCGCCUUGCUGGCCGAUUUCUGACGCUGAGGCGCGAAAGCGUGGGGGAGCAAACAGG